rnacentral:rRNA from 1 species
UACGUAGGGUGCAAGCGUUGUCCGGAAUUAUUGGGCGUAAAGAGCUCGUAGGCGGUUUGUCGCGUCUGCUGUGAAAACUCGGGGCUUAACUCCGGGCCUGCAGUGGGUACGGGCAGACUAGAGUGCGGUAGGGGAGACUGGAAUUCCUGGUGUAGCGGUGAAAUGCGUAGAUAUCAUUUGGAACGCCAAUGGUGAAAACAGGUAGCUGGGAGUGUGCUGACGCUGAGACACGAAAGCCAGGGGAGCAAACGGG